GUUCAGGUCCAAGGUGUCGAGACGAUUACCACAAGCUAAAACUGAAUGGAAGUGUCUGAGGCAUAAUAGCAUUGCUACACCAGAAAGACAGAGCUGCUGCGGCAUAGGUGACUUAGUUGGUUCGCGUCUGGGUCCCGGUCCUCUAGUGGUUUACGUGAUAGAAGCAGGUGCUGCAGCAAAACAAGAACAGCCCAAUUUGCCAGCCACUACUUCGGAGGGGGAAUCUACGACAGCCUAUGAGUCUACAUGGCCACAGCCAUUUAGCCUCCAUCACUGAUGCUGCAAAUUUCUUACUGCCUGCCUCUGCUCAUGUAGGCAGACACUGAUGCUGCUGCGAUCUGUCUCAUUUGCACUGGAUCCUCGGCGUGAUUCAUCACGCCUCAGUGCGCCUCGUUCAGUGCAGCUAGGCUGCCUUCAGUCUACCGUGCGAGCUAACUACUUGCCGCCCGUUGCUGUGGUUAGCGUCAUUGAGGGGUCGCUAUAGCAAUCACUCUAAUGACCUCUCGACGCUGCUGACGGUCGGUUGCACCUCUUUACAGGCCGGCUACAACUUUAGUCUUCGGACGUUAACUUCUCAGACUAUCGAUAAGGUUGUUGUAAAGUGCUGAGUAAUAAAUGAAAGACCUAACAAUGAGGUUUUCAUUUUGAUACGUCGGCCGACUACCAGGCAUCCACCUACACUGGAGUAUUGCUACCCCAUCCAGGAUGGUGUACUACUGGCUUACUGACGCUAGCAAUUCAGUUCCACCAUCGUUACAAGUGGUAACAGAAGUGGGCACUACAGCAUCAACCAACGCCAAUACUGUCAUCUGCAGCUGCAGACAGGACCUCGUCUUCAGCCGCAGCUAAAAGCAGCGAGAAGGGCAUUGGGAACCGAUGUGUGUAAUACGUAGAUGCGUGCUGGCUUGUUCUCUGGGGACAGUGGCAACAGCUGGCCGCGCAGACUGCAAUUUGGGAUCAGUGAACCCCACAGCCUCCAGCAGUGAUGAAGACUGCUGUCUGCACCUGCUCGCCAUUGCUGGGUGCCACUGUGGGAACUGCUACUAUUGAUGUGAUGACACUCAUUCCUGCCUGCACCUGCUCGCCAUUGCUGGGUGCCACUGUUGGAACUGCUACUGUUGAUGUGAUG